GAUGAACGCUGGCGGCGUGCCUAAUACAUGCAAGUCGAGCGAACAGACGAGGAGCUUGCUCCUCUGACGUUAGCGGCGGACGGGUGAGUAACACGUGGAUAACCUACCUAUAAGACUGGGAUAACUUCGGGAAACCGGAGCUAAUACCGGAUAAUAUAUUGAACCGCAUGGUUCAAUAGUGAAAGACGGUUUUGCUGUCACUUAUAGAUGGAUCCGCGCCGCAUUAGCUAGUUGGUAAGGUAACGGCUUACCAAGGCAACGAUGCGUAGCCGACCUGAGAGGGUGAUCGGCCACACUGGAACUGAGACACGGUCCAGUCUCCUACGGGAGGCAGCAGUAGGGAAUCUUCCGCAAUGGGCGAAAGCCUGACGGAGCAACGCCGCGUGAGUGAUGAAGGUCUUCGGAUCGUAAAACUCUGUUAUUAGGGUAGAACAAAUGUGUAAGUAACUAUGCACGUCUUGACGGUACCUAAUCAGAAAGCCACGGCUAACUACGUG
rnacentral:rRNA from 1 species